rnacentral:rRNA from 1 species
AGAACGAACGCUGGCGGCAGGCUUAACACAUGCAAGUCGAACGCGUGUAGCAAUACACGAGUGGCGCACGGGUGAGUAACGCGUGGAUAUCCGCCUUUUGGUUCGGAAUAACCCCGGGAAACUGGGGCUAAUACCGGAUGGUUCCUACGGGAUAAAGAUUUAUCGCCAAAAGAUGAGUCCGCGUACGAUUAGCUAGUUGGUGAGGUAAUGGCUCACCAAGGCGACGAUCGUUAGCUGGUCUGAGAGGACGAUCAGCCACACUGGGACUGAGACACGGCCCAGACUCCUACGGGAGGCAGCAGUGGGGAAUAUUGGACAAUGGGGGCAACCCUGAUCCAGCCAUGCCGCGUGAGUGAUGAAGGCCUUCGGGUUGUAAAGCUCUUUUGGCGGGGACGAUGAUGACGGUACCCGCAGAAUAAGCCCCGGCUAACUUCGUGCCAGCAGCCGC